rnacentral:rRNA from 1 species
GAUGAACGCUGGCGGCGUGCCCAAUACAUGCAAGUCGAGCGAACAGACUAGGAACUUGCUCCUCUGACGUUAGCGGCGGACGGGUGAGUAACACGUGGAUAACCUCCCUAUAAAACUGGGAUAACUUCGGGAAACCGGAGCUAAUACCGGAUAAUAUAUUGAACCGCAUGGUUCAAUAGUGAAUGACGGUUUUGCUGUCACUUAUGAUCUCGCCGCGUCGCAUUAGGUUGUUGGGAAGGUAACGUCCUAACAAGGCAAUGACGCGUAGCCGAGCUGAGAGGGGGAUCGGCCACACUGGAACUGUGACACGGUCCAGACUCCUACGGGAGGCAGCAGUAGGGAAUCGUCCGCAAUGGGCGAAAGCGUGACGGAGCAACGCCGCGUGAGUGAUGAAGGGCUUCGGAUCGUAAAACUCUGUUAUUAGGGAAGAACAAAUGUGUAAGUAACUAUGCACGUCUUGACGGUACCGAAUCAGAAAGCCACGGCUAACUACGUG